UGGACGUCUUUCAGCGAAAUUCCUAUCGGCAGAGUCAUUGCUAAAUAUACAAGGUGACAAUUUUUUUCCCAGUCACUGUUAGACUACAACUGGGCGGUGCUUCAUGCUCUGGCUCCGUCCCUCCCCCAAGGUGGGCUUUUUUGAAAGGGAGGCAGACACAAACGACACAAAAUGCUUUGGGCAAAACUUAUAGAACUGUUAUUUUAUUUACAUGGUGACAUUCAAGAUUCAACCAUACACGUUUCAACCGGAAUAUAGCGAAGUAGAUUUGAAACAAAGAGUUGGAUUUAGCUACAAGCUCAGCUACAGACAAUGCCAGCACUAAGAAGGCAGAUGACAAAUAUGGUUGCUAGCUAGCUAAACAAUACCGUGUGGUGCCUGGGCUUCUUUCUGGAGUGGAUUAUAGGACAAUGACCCAACACACCUCCAGGCUGUGUAAGGGCUAUUUGACCAAGAAGGAGAGUGAUGGAGUGGUGCAUCAGAUGACCUGGCCUCCAACAUACCUCAACCAAAUUGAGAUGGUUUGGGAUGUGUCGGACCGCAAGUGCAUAGCAUAUGUGGGAACUCCUUCAAGACUUUUGGAAAAGCAUUCCAGGUGAAUCUGGUUGAGAGAAUGCCAAGAGUGUGCAAAGCUGUCAUCAAGGCAAAUGGUGGCUUUUGGAAGAAUCUCAAAUAUAAAAUAUAUUUGGUUUUUGGUUACUUCAUGAUUCCAUAUGUGUUAUUUCAUAGUUUUGAUGUCUUCACUAUUAUUCUACAAUGUAGAAACUAGUAAAAAUAAAGAAAAACCCUUGAAUGAGUAGGUGUUCUAAAACUUUGUAUGGACAUAAUGUAUUUACUUAUUUAUUCUCAUUUUCAAGUAUAGGUGACAAAUCAUGCAUUCCGAUUCUUGCAUAGAUUGUAACAGACACAUAUGAUGUGUGUAAAAUACUUUUUUGAUGGUUGUACUGAUUAUGAUGUGCUAAUGCUAAGCUACUUGCCGGCUAUGUGUGGCACCAUGUUUGUUGACAUCAUUCAAUGCUUUCUGGCUUUCACGUAAGCGUAUGUAAGACCAAAGAUGUUAUAACAAGGAAUAGUUCACUCGACUGACUUAUGGUGCUUUCAAGACAACUGGGAACUCAGAAAAAUAUUAGGUCAAAUCAUGACAUCAGCGAUCUUCAGGUCGGAAAGUCGGCACUCUAGAAAGAGGCCCGAGUUCCCGAGUUGAAUGCCGUUCAAAAGAUUCUUCCCAGUCAGAGCUCGUUUUUUCAGAGUUCCCAGGUGUCUUGAACGUACUGAAGUCGGAAGUCUGAGAUUUCCGAGUUCCCAGUUGUUUUGAAUGUGGCAUCAGAUUGUAACUUUGGAACCUCAGGGUUGCCAGCUCAGACCCCCAUUCCAGGGGUAUUUAUUUUUAUUUAGAGUAUAAACUUCUCCUGUGUUUGCCUCCGAUUGAUAAAUCACCCAUCAUAGUAAAAUUUCCUGCAUCAUAUCCUCACACGAUACCUUCCCCCCAUGGACUUGAAAACCCCCCACAAAUGAAAUGAUCCCCCCGCAAACCCCCCUAAAAUGGUUUCAUCCCUGUUUAGCUUUCGCGCUAUGGUUAAGCUAGGCAGUAGGCUUGUAUUUGGGGUAAUGGUAAAUGACUUGUCAAGUUAUAUGCUCCAGUUUUUUUAAUUUUUUUAUUUAAUUUUUCAUUAUUGAAUAUCCGAAACAUACAAUAUACUUGCAGUGAAGCCGCUCAACGACUACACCACACCAGUCAUCCAACAGACUCCCAUUCAGAGCGACACACAGAAGCAUCCAGGGUCAAUGCCCUGCUCAAGGGCACGUUGACGGAUCUCCCACCAGGCCAAAAAACGUGAACCCGAACCCGACAAGAUCCCCCCACAGUUCCGCAAUAGCUGUCCCUCAACCAUUCGAGACCCCCCCAGAAGAAAAAUUAAAAUUAAAAAUACAAUUAAUUCCAUUCCAUUCCCCACCCCCAAGAACCCCCCAAUGCGCCUACAACCAAGAGAAUGAACUAUAGAGAAAAAAGAAAAAGACAGAAGAAAACAGCAAACAACAAUGCAAAAAAACAAUAAAAAACAAAGGACAUCAAGGACAACUGAAAUCAUAACAGCAAUGCCAACUGUAUAUGUUUGUGUGCAUGUCUGGCACUAUUACAUGUAUGUGUGUGUUCUUGUAUGCGUUUAUUUGAAUGAGAGUGUGUGUAUAUGCAUGUGCUCCAGUUCUUGUAUACACUAUAACAAGUACAUUGAAGAUUUAUAAUAUGCUGAAAAGUAGCUAAACUAAGUUAACAUUUUUCAGGCAAAUGGGAGUAGCCAUCUUUGACUUUGUUCAUUUGCAUCUAAUAUUGAAUGGCAUUCUAGGAUUAGGGAGUUUUCACCAAAUCAAACAUAAAGAAACAUGGCUGCCAUCAUAAAAAUGUUGCUGUUGUUAUCUCAGCCGACACGCAUCUCUUCUCUAAACAAUAUUACAUUUCUCACUUGUGCUCACCGGAGAUGUGGUACAUUGUAAACAAGUCUAGCUGUUAGUUGCUAACUUGUCUUUUGGUUUUUGUCAGCGCAACCUGUUAUUUAGACUGGGUUAUGGAAAGAGUUUAGCUAUG
rnacentral:lncRNA from 1 species